GAUGAACGCUGGCGGCGUGCCUAAUACAUGCAAGUCGAGCGAACAGACGAGGAGCUUGCUCCUCUGACGUUAGCGGCGGACGGGUGAGUAACACGUGGAUAACCUACCUAUAAGACUGGGAUAACUUCGGGAAACCGGAGCUAAUACCGGAUAAUAUAUUGAACCGCAUGGUUCAAUAGUGAAAGACGGCUUUGCUGGCACUUAUAGAUGGAUCCCGGCCGCAUUAGCUGGUUGGUAAGUUAACGGCUUACCAAGGCAACGAUGCGUAGCCGACUUGUGGGGGUGGUAGGCCGCACGGGAACGGAGACACGGUCCAGACUCCUACGGGAGGCAGCAGUAGGGAAUCUUCCGCAAUGGGCGAAAGCCUGACGGAGCGACGCCGCGUGAGUGAUGAAGGUCUUCGGAUCGUAAAACUCUGUUAUUAGGGAAGAACAGAUGUGUAAGUAACUAUGCACGUCUUGACGGUACCUGAUCAGAAAGCCACGGCUAACUACGUG
rnacentral:rRNA from 1 species